rnacentral:lncRNA from 1 species
UUGUAUAGGACUCUCCUAUUGGUAUAAAAUUAUCCUUCAACCUUUGUUCCCUUCUAUACCCUUGGCUUGGAUGUGGGUUAUAGGGCACCUGAAAAUUUCGUGGAGGCUGGUGGAGAUCUUGCGGGGCUCGUGCUCGUGCUCGCCUUCUAGGGUGUCUUGGUGGACGAGCAUCAUACUGAGGUGUAGCAACAGACUAUUGAGGGUUCUGAGGCAGAUAAUAUUCCUCAAGGGAGUCAUGGAAAACCUGAGGAAGUUGAUCAUACCUUUGAGAUGUUCUCCUUGGACCUCUCUCAGCCCUGAUGUCAUCAUGAUUUCUUCACCUUUCUCAUUCGUGUCACCAAAAUUAUCAGAUUCAACCUGGACAGCCUGAGUUGCGGCUUUAAGAACUUCUUGACUUAUAAUUUUGCCUGUCUCAAGACCAUUCUCAA